ACGAACGCUGGCGGCGUGCUUCACACAUGCAAGUCGAACGGAAAGGCCCUGCUUUUGUGGGGUGCUCGAGUGGCGAACGGGUGAGUAACACGUGAGUAACCUGCCCUUGACUUUGGGAUAACUUCAGGAAACUGGGGCUAAUACCGGAUAGGAGCUCCUGCUGCAUGGUGGGGGUUGGAAAGUUUCGGCGGUUGGGGAUGGACUCGCGGCUUAUCAGCUUGUUGGUGGGGUAGUGGCUUACCAAGGCUUUGACGGGUAGCCGGCCUGAGAGGGUGACCGGCCACAUUGGGACUGAGAUACGGCCCAGACUCCUACGGGAGGCAGCAGUGGGGAAUAUUGCACAAUGGGCGGAAGCCUGAUGCAGCAACGCCGCGUGCGGGAUGACGGCCUUCGGGUUGUAAACCGCUUUCGCCUGUGACGAAGCGUGAGUGACGGGAAUGGGUAAAGAAGCACCGGCUAACUACGC
rnacentral:rRNA from 1 species